UCUAAGGUUGUUAGUGGUGUACCCCAAGGUUCAAUGUUGGGACCUUACUGUUUAACCUAUUUAUAAGUUAUAUAGAGUUUGGGAUUAACAGUACAAUGUCUGUGUUUGCAGAGGACACCACACUAUGUAGUGGAGUACAGACCA